rnacentral:rRNA from 1 species
CCCUCGCGGACGUAUUUCUUACAGCUCUGAGCAAAAAUUCAAAAUGAAUCAAAACUUUCAACAACGGAUCUCUUGGUUCUGGCAUCGAUGAAGAACGCAGCGAAAUGCGAUAAGUAAUGUGAAUUGCAGAAUUCAGUGAAUCAUCGAAUCUUUGAACGCACAUUGCGCCCGCCAGUAUUCUGGCGGGCAUGCCUGUCCGAGCGUCAUUUCAACCCUCGAACCCCUCCGGGGGAUCGGCGUUGGGGAUCGGGACCCCUCACCGGGUGCCGGCCCUGAAAUACAGUGGCGGUCUCGCCGCAGCCUCUCCUGCGCAGUAGUUUGCACAACUCGCACCGGGAGCGCGGCGCGUCCACGUCCGUAAAACACCCAACUUCUGAAAUGUUGACCUCGGAUCAGGUAGGAAUACCCGCUGAACUUAAGCAUAUCAAUAAGCGGAGGAA